GUUUCAAAAAUAGAUAAAAAUAGUAGUCGUUGUCAAAGAAAAAAAGAUUUUUAACAUUAACGCCGUCAGCAAAAUACUAAAACAUAUUUUCUAAAUCUUUUGGUAAACCUUAAACCAUUGGGUGAAUCCUAAACACUAAAUCCAAAACCGUUGGAUAUACCCUAAACACUAAUCUCUCUCUAUGUUUCACUUGUUUCAUCUCCUUUUAUAGCUCUCCCGAUCUCUCUCUCUCUCAACCUCACUAUAUAUCAUAAUAUUUAUUUUCUCUCUAUUUUUUAUCUCUCUCUCUCUAUAUAUAUAUGUGUAUAAUUAUCUUAGUCACUCUUUCAGUCUCUUUCUCUCUAUCUCUAAAUACUUCUUUCUCUCCAUGUCCAUCUCUCUCUCUCUCUCUCUCUCUC
rnacentral:lncRNA from 1 species